rnacentral:lncRNA from 1 species
AAAAUCAAAAAAAAAUUUUGAGUUGGAAUUUAAUUUUUUUCUUCCUUGUAUUUAGUUUACUAUUGUAUUGGAUUUAAAAAAAAAGAGAAGAAAUUCGGAAAAAUAUUCAAAAAAAUCUAAAAAAAGGAAAAAAUAAAAGAAGUGACAAAAAAAUCGAGUUAAAAAAAAAGAAGAAAGAAAAAAAAGUGAAAAGUCUUGCGAGUUUUUAUCAUUAUCAGUUAUUACUCCGAUCAUCAAGUUUCCCUUCCUACCAUUAUUUACCCAUCCCAACGCCACACUUUAAACCAAUUUUCUUCUUUGUUCAGCCUACCCUACACCCGACAUUAUCCCUUGUAAACCAUUUUGAAACCGACCCUCAAG